AGGGCAGAGGCGGAGCUAGCUGCUCCGGCAGCAGGAGUGGUGCACAUGCUGUGUACCCGGAGAUGGGGUAAGUGUCCCGGGGGGGGGGGCACCACGGCGAGAAUCUCAGGAAGUGAGAUGUCCAUGGGGGCGGACUGCUUCCUGGGGGGAGGGAACAGCACCGCUUUGCCAGUAGCCUUCCUCCCUUCCCUCUUCCUUUUGACAGCUUGGGGGAGGUCCCCCCCCCCCAGAAAGCAGCCCGGGAGUGCAUGGGGGGGGGAACAGUGUGCUGCCUGCCCAUGACUUCCAAGUCUCCCCCAAGCUGUCAAAACGAAGGGGGUGUGGCAAUCACACAGGGUCCCCGGACGUUUCACCGUCUAUUGAUCCCUGUGCCACCACUUUAUUUCCCGCUGCCGCCACCCAGGCCCUACCUGGUACAAUACUGAGUCCAGUCAGGUUUAAAUGGGAACAUAAACUUCUGUUUAUUUAUUGCAGUUUAACAAGCGUGUGGUUUCAUAAAUGAUAUCGGUCAAUUACAAUCAUGGGGUGCCUAUCCAGACCUAUAACUUCCGCUCCCUGCUCUCACUCACUAAACCACCUCUCAGAUAUUUACUCGUCUUCCUAGCUCCUAACUGUUCCUGACUCAACUUAUUUCGCUAUACUAACUCAACCUACCCACAGACUCUAUCCCAAUUCCCUGCUGGGGAGGGUGGGGUAUAAAUAAAAAAUAUUAUUAUUAUUAUUAAUUCACUCCCACUCCAACCAACCACCCAACUCCCAACGAACUCCUCCCUUCGCCCCUCCCAGAGCUGGUUUUAUAGUCCCUCUGACUCCACCCCCUUGGGUUCUGAUUGGGUAACUUGUUUAACUAUUUCACCUCCAGCACUCUUAAUGUCAUGGGGGGAAGGACGACUGCAAGGUGGCGCAACUUUGCCCCUUCCCACGACGGCUCAGGGUAGGCUUGGGAGUCGCGGGCGGGUGGCUCGCCAGAUGUCACCCUCCUCAGUUAUGACACCCAGGGCUGACUGCCCCCACCUCCCCUUCCGCCGCCCCUGAUGAAGGGAGCAGAUUAUUAUUGAUAAGGUAACUAGGAUGGGUUACAAUGAGUUGACAUGGGUAACAGGAAAGCAUUACCCUGUGCUUCUGACACAUGUUACAUUACGAUAAGAUACAAUACGAUAAUCUUUAUUGUCAUAGUCCCAUACAGAACAACAAAAUUGAAAAAUCUACAUAAGACAUUCAAAACCCAACAAGCCUGCUACCCCAGCUAUCCCAACCUGGUUAGCCCCCUAAAAACUCUGAUACCCCAUUUUUAAAUACAAUAUACUUCCAUACAGACUCCUUACAGUGCGUUUAAAACCAAAAUCGCAUUUGGGUAGAAACUGUUUCUCAGGCGGCUAGUCCUAUUCUUUAUAACCCUGUACCUUCUUCCAGAAGGCAGAAGCUGAAAGAGAUCGUUUCCAGGGUGUGCACUAUCCUGCGCUAUCUCUGCAACUUUCUUAUGGCACCUGGAAGCGUAGAUUUGAUCCAAGGUGGGAAGAGUGCACCCAAUUAUUUUCUCCGCAGUCUUUACAACCCUGGACAGCAUUGUUUAUCAAGCUAUAAGGAAUAUCUCCUUGCAUUCCAUCUGGGUCCCCUUUGAAUACCCUCCAAGUUUCCAGAUUUUCCAGGGUCAGUCCCAAAAUGACAGAAGCCAUCCUGGUUUCUGGUCUGAUCUUGGAAUGGCCCAGUUUUUCUUUUUCUUUCCCUCUAUGUCUCUAAGAACAAUUAAAAGUGGUGCAGAGAUCAGCCCCCCCCCAUGCUCCUGUCCAUUUUGGAAACAGGAGCCUUUGUGCUCUCUCUGUGUAGGUCCUGUUUAUACUGAGAAUAAAACACCUGCACCCAUUGAAGGAAAUGGUGAAGUGGGAAAUGGUGAAUUUUGAAGGAAGAUGUCACCAAUCCACUUUAAAUUAUUUAUUUGCAAUGCUUCCUUUAUUGUAAAUUGAGCUUUACACUGUAUACUGAGAAAUAAGUCCCACUGUAUUCAAAGGAGCUUACUCCCAGGUGUUCUACCCGGACACUGAGGUCCAGCGCCAAGGGCCUUCUGGUGGUUCCCUCACUGCGAGAAGCCAAGUUACAGGGAAGCAGGCAGAGGGCCUUCUCGGUAGUGGCGCCCGCCCUGUGGAACGCCCUCCCACCAGAUGUCAAAGAGAACAACAACUACCAGACUUCUAGAAGACAUCUGAAAGCAGCCCUGUUUAGGGAAGCUUUUAAUGUUUGAUGCAUUACUGUAUUUUAAUAUUGUGUUGGAAGCUGCUCAGAGUGGCUGGGGAAACCCAGUCUGGUGGGCAGGGUAUAAAUAAUAAAUUAUUAUUAUUAUUAUUAUUAUUAUUAUUAUUAUUAUUAUUGACUGUGCAGCCUUACACUACAAUCAUAAGAAUAGGACUUCAAUAGGAUUGAGCCAAUAGAACUGAGUUCAAUAGGAUUUCGUAUCUGAUAUGUUCCUGAUCAUCCUCACAGUUUCUACUACUACUACUACUACUACUACUAUUAUCCGUCUUUUUAUUUUUUGAAUUAUGCUAGUCCUGAAUAAUUUUAAUAUGGAGUAGGUGUUUUAUUCCUCAAUUUACUUGGCUUUUUUAAAAAGAGAGUUUCUCUCAAGAUGGGCGUGUUUUUAAACUUUACCAAAAAAUGAACUGUAUUUAGCUUGUUAUAUGCAACCCCCCCCCCACCACACCUGCCUCUCUCUCUGUUUAUCUCCAAAACUUCCGUAUCACACGCCAAAUCAAACAAGCGCGUCAUUCAUCUUUAAUAGCUACCUUUGUGCCAUAUGGGUAGACAGCAGCUGCUUGUCAAGUGACCAAAAAAUCAAAGCUUGGCAGCACAGCGGCUUACAUCAGCAUAUGACUUUAACAUAACACUUAUAUUUCAGGAGAAGCUGUUCCAAGCCACAGCAAAACUACUGGGCCAAAUGCCUUGGGAUGUUUUUCUUUUGAGGUUCGAGAUACAAAUGAACAAAUCUGUCAAUAUAAGUUUCAUACCCCCCCCCCAAGCAAUUUCAUUUCGUCCCCUUUUCACACUGUUUGCGAACUUAAAAAAAAAAAUCUGCAUGAAAAAGUGUAUGCAUUUUUGCGUGAAUUUCAACCUACACAUUUUUACAGGCAAUUUUCUUUAAUGCGACACACUUUUCUGCACACUCCCCCCCCCAAAAUAUGCUUUUUUCGUACAUUGGAGAAUUGCGUUGUGAAAAUUCAGGAAGUGUGAAUUUCAAACGAUAGCUUCGUUUCAGUAUCAUGCCACUUUAAACAGUCACGAAUUCCCCCAAAUAAUCCUGGAAACUAUAGUUUGUUCAGAGUGCUGAGAGCUGUUUGGAGACCCCUGUUCUGCUCAGAGAGCUACAAUUAUCAGAGAGGUUUAACAGUCAACCCCUCUUCCUGGGGAACUCUGGAAACUGUAGCUUUGUGAAGGAAAUAGGGGUCUCCUAAUAUAUGGCCAAUGCUCAGGAGUGCUGGGAGUUGUAGUUCAGCAUUAUUUAGAGGCCACAGAUUCUGCAACCCUAAUACAACACUUUCAUUAACAGGAUGGGAUGCCUUGAAUCCGUCAGAGAAAAAGGUGGUAUAACAACACCACCACCAUCACCACCAACAACAAGAACAACAACAGAUUGUUGAAGGACCUACACUGGCUCCCAGUAUGUUUCUGAGCACAAUUCAAAGUGUUGGUGCUGACCUAUAAAGCCCUAAAUGGCCUCAGUCCAGUAUACCUGAAGGAGCAUCUCCACCCCCAUCGUUCAGCCCGGACACUGAGGUCAGCUCCGAGGGCCUUCUGGCAGUUCCCUCACUGCGAGAAGCCAAGUUACAGGGAACCAGACACAGGGCCUUCUUGGUAGUGGCACCCGCCCUGUGGAACGCCCUCCCAUCAGAUGUCAAAGAGAAAAACAACUAGCA
rnacentral:lncRNA from 1 species